rfam:Capsicum annuum cultivar Zunla-1 chromosome 1, whole genome shotgun sequence
GGGCUGAUGGUGGUGAGGCAAUCUCUCAAGUAUCCCUUAUAUCUCACCUAAGCUUUGGGAAGGGAUUCAACAUCUUUUUGAACAAAUACAGAAAUCUUGCCUCUAAGCUC